UACAGAGGGUGCUAGCGUUAAUCGGAUUUACUGGGCGUAAAGCGUGUGUAGGCGGUUCGUUAAGUCGGGUGUGAAAUCCCUGGGCUCAACCCGGGAAUUGCAUUCGAUACUGGCGAGCUAGAGUACGGUAGAGGGCGGCGGAAUUCCGGGUGUAGCGGUGAAAUGCGUAGAUAUCCGGAGGAACACCGAUGGCGAAGGCAACCGCCUGGGCCUGUACUGACGCUGAGACACGAAAGCGUGGGGGGCAAACAGG
rnacentral:rRNA from 1 species